rnacentral:rRNA from 1 species
AGUGAACGCUGGCGGUAGGCCUAACACAUGCAAGUCGAACGGCAGCACAGUAAGAGCUUGCUCUUACGGGUGGCGAGUGGCGGACGGGUGAGGAAUACGUCGGAAUCUACUUUUUCGUGGGGGAUAACGUAGGGAAACUUACGCUAAUACCGCAUACGACCUACGGGUGAAAGCAGGGGAUCUUCGGACCUUGCGCGAUUGAAUGAGCCGAUGUCGGAUUAGCUGGUUGGCGGGGUAAAGGCCCACCAAGGCGACGAUCCGUAGCUGGUCUGAGAGGAUGAUCAGCCACACUGGAACUGAGACACGGUCCAGACUCCUACGGGAGGCAGCAGUGGGGAAUAUUGGACAAUGGGCGCAAGCCUGAUCCAGCCAUACCGCGUGGGUGAAGAAGGCCUUCGGGUUGUAAAGCCCUUUUGUUGGGAAAGAAAAGCAGCAGGUUAAUACCCCGCUGUUCUGACGGUACCCAAAGAAUAAGCACCGGCUAACUUCGUG